rnacentral:ncRNA from 1 species
GAGUGUGGGUAAGUGUAUGCCCCCUAUAAUAGUAAUAUUAUUUGGAAAAUCGGGUGAAUUGCAAAAAACUCCAAUUUAAUUAAUUGGACAAUUUGCAGCGAAGCUUAUAUCGGUAUUUUUAUAGAUAUAUGAACGUUCAACGACUAGAAGGUGAGUAAUACCAACAAUAAUCUUUCCACGAGCGCCCGACAACCUUAAAUAAAUUUUUAAGGUUGAUGACAUAGUCUGAACCAUAUGGUAACAUAUGG